rnacentral:rRNA from 1 species
GAUGCCUACACAUGCAGUCGACGUCCUUGAGUAUCCAGGGAGUGGCGGACGGGUGAGUAAGACAUGGGUGACCUACCCUUAAGUGAGGAAUACCACCGGGAAACCGGUGACAAUACCGCAUACGUUCUCUUUGGCAGCAAGGAGAGCAAAGCUUCCUUCGGGAGGCGCUUGAGGAUGGGCUCGUGGCCGAUUAGCUAGCUGGUGGGGUAAAGGCCUACCAGGGCGACGAUCGGUAGCUGGUCUGAGAGGACGAGCAGCCACACUGGGAUUGAGAACGGCCCAGACUCCUACGGGGGGCAGCAGUGAGGAAUUUUCCGCAAUGGGCGCAAGCCUGACGGAGCAACGCCGCGUGCAGGACGAAGGUCUUCGGAUCGUAAACUGCUUUUCCCAGGGAAGAAACCAGACGGUACCUGGGGAAUCAGCCCCGGCUAACUACGUGCCAGCAGCCGCGGUAAUACGUAGGGGGCAAGCGUUGUCCGGAGUUACUGGGCGUAAAGCGCACGCAAGCGGUCUCUCGCGUUGAGGGUGACAGCUCUCGGCUUCACCGAGAGAGUGCCUUCAAAACGGAGAGACUUGAGGCAUCGAGAGGGAUACGGAAUUCCGGGUGGAGUGGUGAAAUGCGUAGAGAUUCGGAAAAACCCCAAAGGCGAAGGCAAUAUCCUGACGAUGUCCUUGACCCUCAGGUGCGAAAGCUAGGGGAGCGAAAAGGAUUAAAAACCCCUGGUAGUCCUAACCCAAAACGAAGGAACACCAAGUAUUGGCGGGGUAUCGAGCCCCCAGGGUGCCGGAACCUAAACCACGUAAGGGGUCCGCCAGGGGGAAUACGGCUCGCAGAAAUAACACCUCACAAGGAAUUGAACAGAGACCCGCCCAUACACGCUAAACGUGAGGGUAUAAUU